ACUACGUUGUUCGCCGUUCGGUCGUCCUUUUGAUUGUUGAGCAGGCGCCGGUCGCUUACCGACGCAUGUCAGUUUUAAACGAUUAAAUAUAUUCCUUUUUAUUAUAUACAAAAUUAUACUAACGGAGGGUUCCCUACGUCGAGUACGUCGGUUCAUCUAUUUUGUAAAACUUAUUUGAGAGGUUCGGGUUACCAAACCUCUGUAUCAAAACCGUGCCACGUGCAAUAUAAGUCAUAUAUUGCCUUAUUUCUACAUAUUUAAACACUCCUGAGGGAGUGUUUAUUUUUCUUAAUUUUAUAUAUACUUUGUAUAUUGCAUUACAAAGUAAUAUUUUUCGGUGGACUCAACCGAGGAAUUGUUGCUACUUUGGACUUAUGGAGGAGAGGCUGCUUGUCCAGUGGCUUGCUGUUGCUGCUGGUGCUUUUAUCUACUUCGCACUGCUUUUAUUUAUUUGCUCACUCAUUGUGACACUGCGUUCAGGGUAUUUACUGCGUUUAGCUAUUUAAAUCUAUCACUUAUUUUUAACCGAUGCCAACUCACUUACAGCUAACUCACUUAUAAUAUUUUAUUCUAUUAAUGUUAACUUAAUUGACCAGAUACUGUCAAAGGCCCACUCCCUGAUUUUUUUAUGUUGUCAAUUUUAUAAUUAAAAUUUUAUAAUCUU